UACGUAGGGUGCGAGCGUUGCCCGGAUUUAUUGGGCGUAAAGGGCGCGUAGGCGGCUCUGCACGUCCGUUGUGAAAUCGCCCGGCUCAACUGGGCGGGGUCAGCGGAUACGGCGGAGCUUGAGCAAGCUAGGGGGCAAUGGAAUUCCCGGUGUAGUGGUGGAAUGCGUAGAUAUCGGGAGGAACACCGGUGGCGAAGGCGGUCUGCUGGGCAGUUGCUGACACUGAGGCGCGACAGCGUGGGGAGCAAACAGG
rnacentral:rRNA from 1 species